GAUGAACGCUGGCGGCGUGCCUAAUACAUGCAAGUCGAGCGAACAGACGAGGAGCUUGCUCCUCUGACGUUAGCGGCGGACGGGUGAGUAACACGUGGAUAACCUACCUAUAAGACUGGGAUAACUUCGGGAAACCGGAGCUAAUACCGGAUAAUAUAUUGAACCGCAUGGUUCAAUAGUGAAAGACGGUUUUGCUGUCACUUCUAGAUGGAUCCGCGCCGCAUUAGCUAGUUGGUAAGGUAACGGCUUAUCAAGGCAACGAUGCGUAGGCGACCUGUGAGGGUGAUAGGCCACACUGGAACUGAGACACGUUCCAGACUCCUACGGGAGGGAGCAGAAGGGAAUCGUCCGCAAUGGGCGAAAGCCUGACGGAGCAACGCCGCGUGAGUGAUGAAGGUCUUCGGAUCGUAAAACUCUGUUAUUAGGGAAGAACAACUGUGUAAGUAACUAUGCACGUCUUGACGGUACCUAAUCAGAAAGCCACGGCUAACUACGUG
rnacentral:rRNA from 1 species